ensembl:snoRNA SNORA74 Small nucleolar RNA SNORA74
UCCAGUGGUAGUCAGCUGUCCAGAGCAGUAUCGUGCCUGUGAUAGUGUUACACUGCUGGGAGAUAAAGGUCAGUCAUUUCUUCUGGCUGUUGUUGUCACUGUUCUGGAGACGGCUGAUGCCAGAAAGAAACGCUAUUGUGCUUCCCUGAGAGCGUGCUAAGGAUAUGCUUUCCCUCUUUAGUGCUAGUCUGGAAGCGUACAUA